GCGGACGUGGUGAAACUGGUAGACACGCUAGUCUUAGGAACUAGUAUCGCAAGAUGUGUGGGUUCGAGUCCCACCGUCCGCACCA
rnacentral:tRNA from 1 species